CAGACGUCCGUACAACGCAAGAAGUGACUAUGAUAGCUAGUGACGUUCGAUCGUAUGCGCUCUCGUCUACUUUUUCCUGCUUCUUUUCUUAUUGGCAAAUUUUUCUCUCUGCGUGGAGUUCUGAGUAGAUUGCCUAUGUCCGUUCAACCUAUCCGAUGACUGCCUCGAGUCGGUCGAAUCGCACUUUAACCCUAACCGAUGCUCGUACUUCUUUCCCAGCUUCCUUACGCGCUGGCAUGCGUAUGGAAAUAUGGACAAAGGGGGAUAGCCUGAGCCAGGCUGUACGAGUACGUAACGAAGCCUGCGAUUUUUAAAGCACUUCUAGCCUCGAGGAAGUUGGUUAAGUUACUAGUUCCAUCGUUUGACCUUAGGGACAGAAGAAGGCAGCGGCUAACUCCGUGCCAGCAGCCGCGGUAAUACGGAGGGUGCGAGCGUUAUUCCGGAUUUAUGGGCGUAAAGCGCAUGCAGGUGGUUAGUUAAGUCAGAUGUAACAGCCCGGGGCUCAACCUCGGAACUGCAUUGAAACUGGCUGACUAGAGUACUGUUGAGGGGGGGUAGAAUUUCAGGUGUAGCGGUGAAAUGCGUAGAGAUCUGAAGGAAUACCAGUGGCGAAGGCGGCCCCCUGGACAGAUACUGACACUCAGAUGCGAAAGCGUGGGGAGCAAACAGGAUUAGAUACCCUGGUAGUCCACGCCGUAAACGAUGUCUACUUGGAGGUUGUGGCCUUGAGCCGUGGCUUUCGGAGCUAACGCGUUAAGUAGACCGCCUGGGGAGUACGGUCGCAAGAUUAAAACUCAAAUGAAUUGACGGGGGCCCGCACAAGCGGUGGAGCAUGUGGUUUAAUUCGAUGCAACGCGAAGAACCUUACCUACUCUUGACAUCCAGAGAACUUAGCAGAGAUGCUUUGGUGCCUUCGGGAACUCUGAGACAGGUGCUGCAUGGCUGUCGUCAGCUCGUGUUGUGAAAUGUUGGGUUAAGUCCCGCAACGAGCGCAACCCUUAUCCUUGUUUGCCAGCACUUCGGGUGGGAACUCCAGGGAGACUGCCGGUGAUAAACCGGAGGAAGGUGGGGACGACGUCAAGUCAUCAUGGCCCUUACGAGUAGGGCUACACACGUGCUACAAUGGCGCAUACAGAGGGCGGCCAACUUGCGAAAGUGAGCGAAUCCCAAAAAGUGCGUCGUAGUCCGGAUUGGAGUCUGCAACUCGACUCCAUGAAGUCGGAAUCGCUAGUAAUCGUGGAUCGGA
rnacentral:rRNA from 1 species